GGUAGCAGAAAUCAAGACAACCUGCAAUAAUACAAACAAAUUUAGGAUGAACAUGUAAAUUUAUCCAUUAGUUGUUAUCUAGCCCUGCAGUUGCAUAAUAAUAUGGUAUCAUAUAAAAUCAAAACAUUGCCUAGCAUCACUCAAAAAAAUGAAACGAAGCCAUGUAUUUAGAACAACAGGUGAAAUAAAACUGAAAUUUAU
rnacentral:misc_RNA from 1 species